rfam:Triticum aestivum genome assembly, contig: Triticum_aestivum_CS42_TGACv1_scaffold_592594_7BS
GUUCUACUCCCCCAUUCCAAAAUUCUUGUCUUAGAUUUGUCUAUAUACGGACGUAUUUAAUACUAAAACGUAAGUAGAUGCAUCUGUAUUUAAACAAAUCUAGGACAAGAAUUUUGGAAUGGAGGGAGUACUAA